GACGAACGCUGGCGGCGUGCUUAACACAUGCAAGUCGAACGGAAAGGCCUGCUUUCCCUUGUGGAUUGCGGGUACUCGCGUGGCGAACGGGUGAGUAACACGUGAGUGAUCUGCCCCCAUCUUUGGUAUAAGCCUGGGAAACUGGGUCUAAUUCCCGAUAGGACUGCAGGGUGGUGCCUGUGGUGGAAAACGAUUUUCUAGUGGUUGGGGAUGAGCUCGCGGCCUAUCAGCUUGUUGGUGGGGUAAUGGCCUACCAAGGCGGCGACGGGUAGCCGGCCUGAGAGGGUGGACGGCCACAUUGGGCCUGAGAUACGGCCCAGGCUCCUACGGGAGGCAGCAGUGGGGAAUAUUGCACGAUGGGCGGAAGCCUGAUGCAGCGACGCCGCGUGGGGGAUGACGGCCUUCGGGUUGUAAACUCCUUUCGACCGCGAGGAAGCCACCUGGUUGGAAGGGUGGUGACGGUAGUGGUAGAAGAAGCACCGGCUAACUACGUG
rnacentral:rRNA from 1 species